rnacentral:rRNA from 1 species
GGAAUCUUCCACAAUGGACGCAAGUCUGAUGGAGCAACGCCGCGUGAGUGAAGAAGGUUUUCGGAUCGUAAAGCUCUGUUGUUGGUGAAGAAGGAUAGAGGCAGUAACUGGCCUUUAUUUGACGGUAAUCAACCAGAAAGUCACGGCUAACUACGUGCCAGCAGCCGCGGUAAUACGUAGGUGGCAAGCGUUGUCCGGAUUUAUUGGGCGUAAAGCGAGCGCAGGCGGAAGAAUAAGUCUGAUGUGAAAGCCCUCGGCUUAACCGAGGAACUGCAUCGGAAACUGUUUUUCUUGAGUGCAGAAGAGGAGAGUGGAACUCCAUGUGUAGCGGUGGAAUGCGUAGAUAUAUGGAAGAACACCAGUGGCGAAGGCGACUCUCUGGUCUGCAACUGACGCUGAGGCUCGAAAGCAUGGGUAGCGAACAGGAUUAGAUACCCUGGUAGUCCAUGCCGUAAACGAUGAGUGCUAAGUGUUGGGAGGUUUCCGCCUCUCAGUGCUGCAGCUAACGCAUUAAGCACUCCGCCUGGGGGAGUACGACCGCAAGGUUGAAAC